rnacentral:lncRNA from 1 species
CGAAGAGUCUGCACAGAGCAGCAACAAUGACGCCAGACUGCAGGGGGGUGGGAGGUGCCUAUGAGCUGAGGGUAUCAGGUAGAGACUCUUCAUGAAAGUGUGUAUGGGAAAAGAUGCUCCAGAGGGAAUAAUAAUGAGAAGGGGCUGCAGUCUCCUGCCUCAGCCUCCCAAGUAGCUGGGAUUACAGGUGCAUGCCACCACGCCGGGCUAAUUGUUGUAUUUUUAGAAGAAACGGGGUUUCACCAUGUUGGCCAGGCAGGUCUUGAACUCCUGACCUCAGGUGAUCCACCCACCUCAGCCUCCCAAAGUGCUGGGAUUACAGGCAUGAGCCACCGCGCCCAGCCCACGAUUAAUGUUCUUAUAAUCACUGCCAUCUCUGGGUGUUUAGUAGUUUCAGCAGUGGCAUCCAGUAACCACGGUUUCUAUUACAAAGGUGCGUGGAAUCUAGGAAAACCAAGGACAACAGUGUAACAUGCUGUGUCAUCAUCAUCAGCUGGUUUGUAAGGGCAGAAGCAAAGCCAAGUGGAAGCUGAUCGUGCACGCAGCUGCUGCAAACACAAAGCUGCUCAUGUGUGUGCUGAGGGGAAAGAGGGCAAUCCCAGACUGAUCUUUCAGUCCCACCUGUAAACGUGAAAUAG